UCUUCAUGCCCUUUUACGUUUCUCUUUUGAGCUUCUUUUUACCCUUAAGUCAAAAUUUUCUCCUUUUUCCUAAAUUUUCAAUUUCUUUCCCCUAUUUUUAGUUUCACAUAGUUCGUAUUUGCCCCCAAAUUUCUAUUUGUUGUUGCAUCCAAAUUUCAAUUCGCGUUUGUUCCAUUAAGGCCUAACAAAAACAUCUCUUCCUCUUUACUCACACUCUAGUGUCAGCUACCUCUUCUAUUCCGAAUUGAAAUUAUUUUCCAUCGAAGUUCUUUCUUCUUUUGUUCUUCCUUAAUCUUACGAGUUGCGCACUCCUUUUGUUAGGGCUUGCUAUGACCGUUUCCGGCGUCGAUGAGGACAAUCUGCCUCCGAUCUCAGAGGGUGACGAGGUAUCUGUGGAGCAGACUUUGGAUGGAAGGAUGACUAAUGUUUAGUCUUAUCUAGACUAGUUAGAUGUACAUAGUUUUGUUCUAGUUGGCUUGUAUAUAAAGUUAAAUUUAUAACGUUAAAUUCAUAGUAUGUUUUGUAUAACUAUAAUGAAACUUUUAUUCAUAGUUAUGUUAACUGUUGUAGUUUAUUAAA